AAACAGCAGCAAGCCCAAGAGACCCGUUAAACCCAAACCAACCACAGUCCGUGCCUCCCCUAUAUAAAGCCCUCUAUUCACCAGGCAGAUAUUUUUCCUGCCUUCCUCUCUCCUCUCUCUUUCCAUCUCUACAAAACUAUUUUUACAGAUCAUAAGUAUUUGGAAGACAUAGCAUAUAAUCACGACCCAGCAUUUGUGGAAAAGCCGUUGCUUAUUUUCUCAGAUCAUAAGUUUUAAAAGAUACUAAUAUGUGAUCACACUUCCAGCAUUGUGGAAAUUCGGUUGCUUCGUUUUUCAGCACUUGAAUGCUGAAGUUCGACAUUGGUGUGAAAUGGACUUUGUUUAUCCCUGCUAAAGACUAUUGCACAUAAAGCAUAUUGAUGCAACUUUGAGUGGUGUCCAAAUCAAGUUGCUCCCGCCUUGAAUAUUCCACCGAAAAGCUUGCUGCAGCCCACCUUACAGGUGUCCAGAGAUCAGCUCACCAUGGUAGCAUAUAUAGUUGAAUGGACUUGGGAGACUGAUAGCUCGCAAAACCUUUACAAAGUGAAUGGUAUUGUCUUUGAGGCAGGUCUCUGAAGUUUGUUUUGCUCCUUUCACUGUAGUUUCGUGUAUCAAUCAUCGAGGACUUUAGCAACCCAACAUUCACUGCCAUAUUACAUUGCCAGUUUUAUGGGUAUUCUUUAUUACUUACCUUUUAUGGAGGCAAAAGGAACUUCAACAGAUAUGUGAUGAUCCAACAAAUUGGCUGGAACAUCAUUAGUACUAUCACAAGAGCUUUUCCUAAAGUUGUUUUGACAUUACCCUGGAUCAACUUUUUGUGACAAACUUGUGAAGCUACAACCAACCCCAAUCUACUCUACUGUAUGUUGGAGUUUUCCAGAAAAUGGUGUUCUUUAGUUGAACACUGAUGGAAGUUCUGGCCAGCUAGUGGCAAGUCUGGAUUGGGGGGAGUUAUGAGGGACGACAGGGGUAACUUCAUCUUUGCAUUUUCUGCUCCUUCGAGCUGUAGCAGUAGCACUGAAGCAGAAGCAAGGGCUGAUAUCUAUGGAUUGGCCUCUGUCUCCAACAAAAUCUGAGGGACUUCACAUUGGAAACAGAUUCUGAGACUCCUUUUCAGAUGAUAGACAAUAUAACUAUAUACUCGACGACGACAACAACAACAUACCCAAUGUAAUCUGACAAGUGGGGUCCGAGGAGGGUGGUGUGCACGCAGCCUUACCCUUGCCUUGUGAAGGAAAAUGUAGUUCUAUAGCUGAGGAAGACCAGGAACGCUGGAGCACUUUACGCUAUGUCACAAGUCCAAUUCUAGAGGAGAAUAAUCUAGUUUGACUCAAGUUUGUAAAUUUUGUUUUAAAAUUUUCUUAGGGAGGUGAGAAAUUUUGAAUAAAAUUUGUGGGAGAUUGCUAAUUCCUAUAGCCCUAAAACUUGUUCGUGUUGAUUGUAGUUGGUAAACUCGUGGACCCUACGCUGGAACUUCAAUAUAUCCAAACUAGUAUAAAAGUGAUAGACCUUUAACCCAAA